CCUGGCUGCAGCAAGCUGCUAAUGCAUCCUCUACCACGGCUCAAUGACAGGAGGGAGGGAGCACAGGAAGUCACAGGCAUUGGGGAGGCUGCCGCCGGCCUGGGCUAAUAGCCUUAAUGUCACAGCACAGGUUUAACGGUGCAGAAUUGUGGCUGGAAGAAAGCGUCAUGAUGGCCCGGACCAAAUGGAGAAGAGAAAUGAACAACACUGAUUAGAGAAGACAUAAUUUGUGUGCCCCGCGAAAAAAGAUUUUCCGACGGGUGCCCCGAGCCGAAAAAGGUUGGGAAACACUGCCUUAAGGUCUCUUAACUCACUGGUCACCUCCAUGGGCCUGGCUACACUGUAUAGACUUUACCAUCUGUCA